AUUGAACGCUGGCGGCAUGCCUUACACAUGCAAGUCGAACGGCAGCACGGGUGCUUGCACCUGGUGGCGAGUGGCGAACGGGUGAGUAAUACAUCGGAACGUACCUUACCGUGGGGGAUAACGCAGCGAAAGCUGUGCUAAUACCGCAUACGCCCUGAGGGGGAAAGCGGGGGAUCGCAAGACCUCGCGCGAUUAGAGCGGCCGAUGCCUGAUUAGCUAGUUGGUGGGGUAAAAGCCCACCAAGGCGACGAUCAGUAGCUGGUCUGAGAGGACGAUCAGCCACACUGGGACUGAGACACGGCCCAGACUCCUACGGGAGGCAGCAGUGGGGAAUUUUGGACAAGGGGGGCAACCCUGAUCCAGCAAUGCCGCGUGAGUGAAGAAGGCCUUCGGGUUGUAAAGCUCUUUUGUCAGGGAAGAAACACCGGCUCUAACACAGUCCGGGAAUGACGGUACCUGAAGAAUAAGCACCGGCUAACUACGUGCCAGCCGCCGCAGUAA
rnacentral:rRNA from 1 species